UCGGACAUGGUGUACGGUACACACUUCUUUCCUUGUUAAAGCCUAUGACGUCAAUGACAGAGGCAGCCCGGGGUUCGACUCCCCGUGUCCGAG